CAGAACAUAAAUUUCUGCAUGAUUGGGUUCCUUAGAAUAUUUCAGAGUACUGUUUUUAGUAAUCAUUGAACGCAUAUUACUAUUGGUAAUUCUCUACUUUUAAUUUGCAAAAUAAAAAUGCCUCAUUAAGAUUUAAGGGUCCAAGUCCCAAGAGUCUAAUACCACACACACAGUCGGCCAUUCUUAAAUUUUGCAUCCUAAUGAACUUCUUUUCUGACAGAAAAUAAUGCUACUCUGAUACUGAUGACAUAAUUACAAUCAAUUCCCUCACACCCUUAGCUCUUCAAAUUAUAUAUGUUUUGGGUUUUCACACAUUUGGUACCUCUGCCCGGCGAAAACAUAGGGGUUAAUCAUGUUGUCCAAUUCUAUUCAGGCCUGGUUCAGGGAACUACCCGAAGGCGUGCUUGAUAGCCUCUCACCGGAGCAAGUCCUGAACUGCAGCAGCCUCUCCUUCCAACGGCGACCAAGGUAACCUAGACCUCUUUCAUCUCUUCUGCUUUGAUUUGUUGUUGAGUUGCUGGCCUGUUGUUGCUCGUCAAGUGCUGCUGCUGCUGUGCUCUGCCUCUGCUGAUUGCUUACGUUGUUCAUGUGCUGCUGCUGCUGAUUGAUGUUUAUGUGAUGCUGCUGCUAAUUGCUUAUUGUUGCUGCUGCUGCUGUGCUCUGCCUCUGCUGAUUGCUUAUGUUGUUCAUGUGCUGCUGCUGAUUGAUGUUCGAGGGGUUCGUGGACGAGGAGUCCGAUGGCGAGGUCAAGCCCUUCCCCGCCGGCAGGAGCGGCCUCUCCGGAGGUAAAGAAAGGGCCCCUGUCAGCCUCGCGUCGGUUUGGGUGCUUCUGUUUGCCCUGCUCCUCUGACCUCUGAGGUGAAUAGACGGUUUCUUGGGCCCGUCGUGCGAUGGAUGGAUCCGGCGUCUAGGCCGCCUCUUCGGAGAUCCGUUGGAUUUCCUGCUCUGUUCAGGAUUUGGGGUGGUAGAUUUGAGUCGUUUGGUGGGUUGGUGGUCGGAUUCCCAGCAGUAGCUAGAUGUAAUGUCGAUUUGUGCUAAUUUGUGUUAAUUGUCGUUGUUCAACAGUGGUGAAGUGAGAAACAGGUGUUCUAACUUCCAAAUCCUGACUGGCUUAAGUUAAUGUAUAUGGCACAUUUACAGUUUCUCAUUUGCAAGUAUAUUUAUGGAUCGCUGUUUAUUAGUCAAGGUUCUACUUGGUGCUAGUUUCCCGAUCCCCACACUGAUUAUUGUGAUGAUGAUCAUGGUAUUUAUUGCGGAUCAGUUGCUGGUUCUGUCAACUUUUUUUCAUGGGUGUGGAUAUCAAGAUUUUGAUGUACUCACAUCUGUCUUUAGUUCUGCAUUAUGUGAUAGUGAAUUAUAAUGCGAUCCUUUUGUUUGAGUAAUUAUUUCAUCUUAAUGAGAUUGAAGCCUAUUACUAGUUUCAAUGCUCUUUAAAAUAUCCUAAGUGAUAAGGAUAAGAUGAAUAAAUCUCAUUGAUCUAAACAUUGUCCUCUUUACCCGUUCAUUUUGCUUGGAGCUGUUCCAUUCCCUAGGGACGUUCCAUUUUUGACAUCCAAAUGGACUGAUCGUCUCUUUACUUAGAAAAUACAGUUACUUAUGGCUCUUUGGUACAUGUACAGACGAAACCACCCUGUUUGCCACUUUACCUUCAUCUGAACUGAUCGUCUUACCUCUCCUUCCUCAUUAAUUUAAAGAUGGUAGUUUAAAAGAUCAAGAAAAUAGGCAAAGGCUUUUUUAUCUUUGAUCUUGUACUUUACAAGAGAUCUUCCAUAUCUGAGCAAGCCUGGUUAACUGGUUAACUUGUGUAAAUAAUUAAAAAAAAUACAUGUAAAUUUGACGGUUUUAUGACUUCAAAUGCUUAUUGUUUAUGACAAACCUAGGGUUAGGAGUCCUUAGUUCGCUUUCAGUUUUUGGUGGAGGUUUCGGUCUUGCUUUUUUGCUCAAGUUCUGGCGUCUAGGUUGGAUUUACACUUCCUUCUAUGCUGCUGCCACUACAAGCUGUUUGAUUUUUUAUAACAAGUACAUUCCAUCUUGACUCCCCAGAUCAUUACUCAUAACUCAGAUUAAAGCUGACGCUAGCUACUGGCUCCUCCCUGGGCUGUUUUUGUUUUGUCUAGUUUUAGCCCUAGUGGUGUUUGUCAGUGCUCGGUUCAGGUUAUGUUUGGUUGGUUGUGACUUGUAUUUUCUUGUCAGCCGUUCGGUCGAUGGUUUGAUAUACUAAACGCUCUUUCUUCUUCUAUAAACUUUGAAUGGUGUUUUUUUCGGCAGGUGGUUGCUAUAACAGUGUUCUUCUUGCUGUGUAUAGCAGUCUAUGCUUUCUUGUCUCCGUUUCUUGGAAAGAACUUGUAUCAGUAUAUUGCAAUCGAUGUUUAUAGUUUCCUGGUAAGGUUCCACUUCCUCUAUUUUCAUGCCUCUAGUAUAUUUCAUUUAAUAUGCCUCUGGUAUCUAUUUCUUUUUAUCAGGCCUUAACGGUACUGAUUCUAUAUGNNNNNNNNNNNNNNNNNNNNNNNNNNNNNNNNNNNNNNNNNNNNNNNNNNNNNNNNNNNNNNNNNNNNNNNNNNNNNNNNNNNNNNNNGUACUGAUUCUAUAUGCUUAUCGGUACUGAUUCUAUAUGCUAGAUGUACUGCUAUUAAUCCUGCUGACCCUCACAUCCUGAUUACUGUCAAUGGUGCACUAAUCUAUAAAUCAGAAGGUAUGUCCUGAUACCUGAUUAAACUGCUAUUGAAGUUUGAGUGCUAUUGCAGCAUAUCAUUUUAAUUAAAGAUUAAUAGUAGGCAAUGUAAACUGUAGUUAAUAAUUGAGGUAAAAACUUAAAGAUUCAUAGUAGGCUAUGUAAACAGUAGUCCACAGAAAAAGUAUGUCGUUGUUUCCAUGGUAUUUUUGCUUUGUAGGCAAUAUUACGGUCUAAUGUUUUUUUGUUUUGUCUCUUUCUGUGUUGCUAGGAAAGUGGUGAGAAGAUGUCGAUGAUGCCUACUUGAGACAUUCAAAUCAACACAACAUAAAAAUUUCUGAACCUAUGUCUCAUAGAAGAAUGGAAUGAACUACAUUGUUAACAGAUGUGCCAUUGUUUUAUUGUAAAAUUCUGUCUGUUCUUACUAUAUUUCUGUGUAAGGAAAUGUAUUCAUGAGAUGAGUUAUUGUGUUAUGUAAACUUGGAAAAUGUAUUAUGUGAUGUUAUAUGAUGGAUGAUUUUAAUUUAACUUGAAGUUUUCUUGAUUUGAAUAUAAAAUAGUAUUGGAUUUAAUAUUGAACAAAUAAUUAGGUUGAAAAGGCCCAACAAAUAGAAAAAAACCAAGUUCUGGAACGAAAAGUUGUUGAAUUUAAAAAUGAAAAAAGGCCAAAAUUGAAACUGGACCAAAUGUAUUUGAGCAAUAAAAGGCCGGGACCCAAAUUAUAAGGAUACAAAAAGAAUUUAAAAAAUAUAUAUUAAAGUGGUUGUAAAUAGGUUAAGGGCCAAAAAGAAGCCCAAUAAAAAAAAGCUCAAGAAAAUAAAAUCAGCCCAUGUGAUCAAUUGAAAUGGGUUGGACUGAUUUCAACCUUGACGUUUUGAUUUCAUCGUAAUUUUGCCACGUAGGACUGGGUUAGAUUGCCAAUGAUAAUUUAAGAUCGUCGUAAAGGUUACGACGAUCCAGGAAUCAUCGUAAAAGUUACGACGAUUUCGAUCAAAACGUCGAUGUUGUUCAUUUCUGACGCUCUGUUUUCGACGCUUGGUUUUUCGUCGUAAGAUCGUUGUAAACUAAAAACCGUGACGAUGUAGCGACGAAAAUAUAACGUUGUGUAUUAGCAUAUUCCUUGUAGUGAUUUACAGCAGCUGCUCGUCCUCCUACUUCAUGUCUCCAUCCGCAUGGAAAAGGGCAAGUUAGUUGAAUGGCAUGCACAUGAUAAAACUGCAAGGCAUAUAUAUUUAUCUACAUAAACUGCAUGUGAACACAUGUGAUGAAUUAAUGACUGAAAUCUGUACUGUACUGGUAGGUGUUUAUGCACCAAUAUGUACAUGUAAACACUUCACCGGAUAUUUCCUUCCAAACAUUGUAAGGCAAAGAUAGAUAGUGAUACUACACAUACUGAAGGUAAACCGUAUUGACUUGAAAGCAAUAAAUUGAUUGUAUAUGUUUGCCAACAUAAAAUUCUACUCAAGUUUUCACGCACAUUUACAUGUUCUGAGAUACGGAAUGCAACUGGUUUGUAGAAGAAAGAGAUUAUUUCCUAUGAAAUGCACACCUUAUAAUUAAAUAAAAUCAUUGUUGAGCAAUAGAUAAAAAUAGUAUCUCCUGAGUUGUGACAAUCCUAGAUUGAUAUUAUAGCUUUUCAACUCAUGUUAAAUAAACAUAGCAGAUUACAACACUUGGAAAGGAUAGAGAUUUCUAUUUAUAAAUAGAUAGGAGUAGAGAAAGAAGCACCUCUGAGUGGUACGCUCAUUGCUUGUAUACUUUUAUCUGAUGGGUUGUGCAGCAAGAUGAACCAUUUUCUUUAUCUGAUGGGUUGUGCAGCAAGAUGAACCAUUUUCUUCAGACUCCUCCAAAUAGAGUAUGCAACACCUCCUACUAAAUGUAAUGUAAAAAUGAGAUGCAACUAAAGAGAAGAUACACAAGUAAUGUAAUCAAUUUAAAAACAAAAUUAGCACAUGUGUGCGCCCAUCAAAAGCACAUUCAAAUAUGUACAGACUGGUAAUAUAUAACAGAGCUCAUUCACAUUGAUUUGUACGGCUUCGGUACAACCGUGUCAUUGAAUAUCAAGGAAAUAGUAAAAUAUUGCACAAAGGGAUGAUGCAAUACAUAUCAUGUUUGUAAACAAGUUCACUCUUCCAGAUGCUCAAGUCCUACGCAUGAGAUAACAUGGCAAAGAAUCAACGCGAACAUUCAUUGCGGACCAUGAGAAACAACAGUAUAAAAAAGAGUUCACUUUUUUUUCUUACAGUAUAGGAUAAAUUUAAUAGCUUGUUCAACGGCACCAACCUAAAAGUGCUACCAAAUCUGUGAUGAAAUGAAUAGUAAAAGGAACGCUUCCUUAGAAAGCAAGUCACCAAUUUUUAUCUGUUGUAAAGAGAAAAAAGAACGCUUUCUUAGAAAAAUGAACAAACCCAAAAACAAGCUUUGCACAACCAACUCUUGGUGCCCCUGGAGCGUAACAAGUUCUAUGGGCCUGUAAUGACCAUGAUUUCCAUCGAGUUUUUUCUCUUCUGUAGAUAUGCUCUCCUGUAAUAAUAUUGAAAGAACCAAGUCAGUUUCUCACUAAUAAUCACAAGACAAAGAUGCUGGGAAACUAAUCCUUACUGCUACAGGAUCAAAAAUAGUACCCCCUGUGUAAAGAAAUAUGAGGACGUUUAGAUCACUAGAGGGAGUAGUUUCUAACAUAAAUAUUAGUGUCAACUGAACUCUCACAAGUAAGACACCUGCUUGGUAAGCUCGAUUACCACAAAUUGAAUAUUAAUUCUGUAUAGGAUUACACUAAAGAAAAACAGGAAAUCAUUUAUAAGUUGACUAUUUGUGGGGCCUCAUUGGGGUUUUAUAUUUUGAAGGGACAGACACACAGGAUAGUAGUUCCAUCGUGAUGAGUACUUUUCUACUAACAACCAUCACCAUUAAUAGCAUACCCAAGACUGGACCUGGAGCAUUUGGUACAUCUCACUCAUAUCUAGCAAAGGCAGCAAUAGGUAUUAUAUAACAACCUACAAGCUCAACAAUUAAGACAUGUUUAUAUCUUGCAAAAGAAACAUGUGACGUUUUACCAAUCAAGAUAAAAUUAAGCGGCCCAAGUAAACAUGCUCAAACAAUAAUUAUCUGGAAAAAAUUAUUUGUCCCUGCUACAUGUAAAUCCAAUACCCAUUCAAUACUUGGCAUCACUAAACGAGAAAUCUAAAUGACAAAAUUAGUAAUCUCUGCUCCUACUUGAAUGAACUCAACAAAUAUGACAGCAUGCACUCUGCAUCAUAAACACUAGAAAUCACCAUGGCCAGCACAUAAUUUCUCAAGCAAUAGGGCUCCAUGGUCGUGGACACGCGCAGAGCACAAGCGUUAGCAUGAGCGAACAGUUGGUUGCUUACCAUAUAUGCCUGAGAGGAAGAAGAACGACUGGAUUCAUCGGAGUGGAAGAAGAAUCACAAGGUGGCUGUGUCCUGCACCGCCACCUGCACGCAUUAGAAAGUGCAUGAGGGAACCAAGCCAUGAUCGCUUAUGCAUCAGGGCUACCAAAUCGAACAAAGCAGGGGAGGGGGAGCAAAACAUUGACCUAUUGGUAAUAUAACACAUACACCCUCUUUACACUAUUAAAAGACGUUUUGUGCAUACCUAAUAACAUAUCACACACUUGACUAUUUAAGCAAAAAACAUGAGCUGCGCCUUCAGAUCUGGUGCUACUACAAGUGUUGAUUUCUGAAUUUGUACCUAAGUACAAGUUCAGUUCAUAUACACAAAUAUAUUAUGUAUGUUUGUGCAUGACCAUGCAGAACUGAAGUGAAUAAUGUGGACGGUGACAUAUACUGAUUGACAUGGAACAAUAUACUAUGAUGGUAGAUUUUCAAUCACGUGUCUAGAGGAGAAUUCAUAGUUGUGUAAUUGCACAUGGUCGGAAAUGCUUUACCUCCACUAAUAAUGCAUAUUGCACACUUAACUAUUUUUAGCUAAACAUGAGGCGCACCUUCAGACCUGCUACUACAAGUGUUCGAGUCUGAAUUUCUUUUGUACCACAACAUAGGAUGAGCAGAGAGAGAGAUGACAGACCCAAGCUGCUGCUGAUUUGAUGGACCUGGACGACGGUUGCACCAUAGAUUUGCUCUCUAAGAAAGCGUUCCUCUUUUCU
rnacentral:lncRNA from 1 species